rnacentral:rRNA from 1 species
CCUACGGGUGGCAGCAGUGAGGAAUAUUGGUCAAUGGCCGGGAGGCUGAACCAGCCAAGUCGCGUGAGGGAAGACGGCCCUACGGGUUGUAAACCUCUUUUGUCAGGGAGCAAGGUGCAGGUCGGGACCUGCUGUGAGAGUACCUGAAGAAAAAGCAUCGGCUAACUCCGGGCCAGCAGCCGCGGUAAUACGGGGGAUGCGAGGUUUAUCCGAAUUUAUUGGGUUAAAAGGUGGCGCAGGCGGAGGCAAAGGUCAGCGGUAAAAUCGCGGGGCUCAACCCCGCUCCGCCGUGGAAACUGUGUGCCUUGAGUGCGCGAAGGGUAGGCGGAAUGCGUGGUGUAGCGGUGAAAUGCAUAGAUAUCACGCAGAACUCCGAUCGCGAAGGCAGCCUACCGGUGCACAACUGACGCUCAGGCACGAAAGCGUGGGUAUCGAACAGGAUUAGAUACCCUAGUAGUU